rnacentral:lncRNA from 1 species
GUUUAAUUGUCAUAUUUUAAAACCUUCAAACGUGUUAAGUUGCCUGUUACACGGGGCUAACUUAUUGAAAGGUUUCUGUUCGCUUAGAUUAGUGGAUUUGUGUGUUGUGUUUUGGCUUCGUGAACAGAAGAUUCAGGAGACUGGAAUUUCCAUUCUACUUUCACAAUGACGGUGUAUAACGGGAACAAGUCACUGAGUAUUUUAUCUGUAAGUCUUUGGAUAAAAUGUACUGCAUCCAAGGGUGACUUGGCUCAAAAUUUGUCACCAUGGACUGCCAAGGUUCAUUUGACAGACUUGGCCAACUUGGGUAUCAUGAUCAGAAAAACAAAAUGAGAAUCCACCAUCCAAAAAACAAAAAAGAAAUUAUUUGGGUCAUUGAAUAUCAAGGGGAAGAAAUAAAAGGAAAUGAUUAGUCUCAGGAGAAUCUAGCAGACUUCACAGAGGGGACAAGUGGUGAGUUUACUCUUUAUUUCUAUGUGAAUGGGAAUGGAUGAAUUUCUUAAAAAAAAAAAAAUGAGGGAGGAAAAACACCCACAUAGAAUCCAUUAAAUGAAAUACACUUUCUUUUGAUCCAGUUAAAGUCCUUGUAUUUGAAUACUGAAAGCAGAACUCUCUCGUUGAGAUAAUCCAUCUCCAACAGGACAACUUUAUCUUCUCGAAGAAAGCACAGAUAGGAAGUUUUUGAAAACUUCUCAUAUAAGAAUUCCAGCUAAUGUUGGAAAAAAAAAAUCCUAACUCUUGUUACUUUUUUUUUUAAGUUGAAGGAAAUCUUCCAAAAAAAAAAUCUAUAUCUAUAUAUAUUAUUUUAUAAAUCCCCUAUGAAAAGAAAACAACUGAAUGAAGAGAAUGGAAGCACAGAAUGACAGAUUUUGUCACUUGUCAUAAAAAAAUGAAGAAUAAAAUGCAUCACUAUCAUUUUAUUAAGUGUUUAACUUUUGAAAACAAUAAUUUUGAUGCUAUAGGAAAUAAACUAUUUGAAGAUGAGAAACUGUUAAUGUGUCAGUAAUAAAUGUAUACUAUAAAUUUUUAUGUAUUUAGCAAAACAUUUGAGCAUUCAGAGAAUUAAAUGAACAACUGAAUGACAAUAGGAAUCUCCUUCAUUUAGUAGAAACCAUAGCAAAAUUGGAUAACAUCACCACUGACACUUAAGCAUAAUACAAACAUCAACACCAAAUAACA